rnacentral:lncRNA from 1 species
GACGCAUUAAAAAAUCCAUUUUCGCUCGCGAUUGAAUCUGACUGAGCCGGAUCAAUCCGCAGAUGCUCCCACCGCCCUUGCACGUAGCUAUGGAGACUGCGAUGCCGCUUGCCCAAGCCCACAGCAGACCCCACUGGGCAUGGUUCAAAUCUGGAAGGACCCCACUCCCUGCUCACAGAGUGCCUCUCGUCCACAGCGUGGCUUGGUUCAUCUACAGUUCACGUGAAUACUCUUCCAAGCGCCCAUGAACCUCAAGGCUCCCAAGGGGAUAGAACCCAGGGCUCUGCUGACCCAGCCAUCUUGCUGGCCUUUCUGUGGUUGUCUCGACUUCCUGUGGCCUUUUCCACAUUCAGGUGAGUUUGAUUGUGCAGCCUGGCCCUGGUCUCCAUGCUAAGCAGUUUCCCACACAGCUCCUGAUGUCAAACAGGCUGCCCUGUAGACACUGGGUCCUACUGCUGGAAACUCUCCAGACGUUUUAUUCUUCUGGUUAAGUUUUUUUGUUUUUUUGGUUUUUUUUUUUUUUUUUUUUUUGGUUUUUCGAGGCAGGGUUUCUCUGUAUAGCCCUGGCUGUCCUGGACCUCACUUUGUAGACCAGGCUAGCCUCGAACUCAGAAAUCUGCCUGCCUCUGCCUCCCCAAGUGCUGGGAUUAAAGGCGUGCGCCACCACCCCCGGCCCCUGGUUAAGUUUUUGUGGCAUGGGUCUUAUUACUUAGUCUUGGCUGCCCUGGAACUUGC